rnacentral:misc_RNA from 1 species
CUUGGUCAUUUAGAGGAAGUAAAAGUCGUAACAAGGUCUCCGUUGGUGAACCAGCGGAGGGAUCAUUACAGAGUUGCAAAACUCCCCAAACCAUCGAGAACCUUUACCGCUAAACAGUUGCUUCGGCGGGUGGCCCGCGGGGGCCGCCGAGCCCGCCGGAGGAAUCCAAAAAACCAUCGCUUUCAGUACCGGCCUCUCUGAGUUACUGUACUUUUAAUUAAGUCAAAACUUUCAACAACGGAUCUCUUGGUUCUGGCAUCGAUGAAGAACGCAGCGAAAUGCGAUAAGUAAUGUGAAUUGCAGAAUUCAGUGAAUCAUCGAAUCUUUGAACGCACAUUGCGCCCGCCAGUAUUCUGGCGGGCAUGCCUGUUCGAGCGUCAUUUCAACCAUCAAGCGCCUCGCUUGUGUUGGGGCCCUGCGGCUGCCGCAGGCUCCUAAAUCCAGUGGCGGGCUCGUCGUGGUACCGAGUGCAGUAAACAUCCUCGCUCAGGGAACCCGACGGGUGCCGGCCGUGAAACCACCCCUCUUUAAGGUUGACCUCGGAUCAGGUAGGAAUACCCGCUGAACUUAAGCAUAUCAAUAAGCGGAGGA